rnacentral:lncRNA from 1 species
UAUUUACUUAAAUAACCUCUACACCCAAUAUGGACCUCAAACUCAAUGACCCUGAGAUCAAGAGUCACAUACUCUUUUGACUGAGCCAGCUAGAUGCCCCUAACCUCAACAUUCUUUGAUGAGGUAAUGUUAAAAUAAACUUUAUAAAGUCACAUCUUAGCAUUAAAAUGUUAUUAAUUUUAAAAGAUUGAGAAGUGAGAAUAAAUUUGUUGUUUUGGAAAUAAAAUAUAAAGGAAAUAUAUAUAUAUUUUCUGGUUCUCACUCUUAAUUACAUUUCCUGCAAUAAGCUUAGAACUCAUAUCAGUAUACCUAACAUUUGGCUACCUGGUAACUGGAAUUAGUAGUAUAUAAAUGAUCACUUCGAUAUUCCACAAAAAUCAUUUCAAGGUAUAUCAGAUGAUGAGUACAAUUUGCCAUAUACAGUAUAUGUUCCUAUAAAUAGGAAACUCAGUUGUCAUUUAAAUUAUUAUUAUUAUUGUAGAUACUUACAGUAUUGUAGAUAUUUGGUUUAAACCACAUAAAGAAUAUGUAAGAAUUUAGAUAGAAUUGUUGAAAAAGAUUAAUAAAAAGGAAAAUAUAAAUUGAUAAUAUAUGCUAAUAGCAACUGCAUGUGUAAUAUACCUGAUUUACUUAGUUCACAAAGCUAGAGAACUAGAAAUAAAGCAAUCCCCAUUCCCUUUUCUUAUGUUUCUUCAUCCUGUUGUUCAUAUCUCAAUUUUACACCUCAAAUUUCUCUUAAAUCGGCUCCAUCCUUUUUAUCACCACUUAUUAUACUUCAAAACAGCAUCAAUUCCCUUCUGAAUUGCCAAAAACAUUAUUGAACCCAUCUUCUCCCUUUCAUUCUUCCUUCCUUCCAAUGGAUCUGCCAAUGGAUUAUUUUAAAGUAUUCAUUUAAGCUUUUCUCUCAGCUUUAUAAGACCAUGGCUUUUUAAUGCCAAAUACCAAUAUAUACCAAUAUUUUAGUGCACAGGAUCAUCUGAAUGUUUUGUCUAAAAAAAAGUUUCUCAGGACCCUAUUUCAGAGUUUCUGAUUCAGUAGUUUUGAGGAGGCCUUGACGAUUAGCAUUUUUCCAGGUGAUGAUGGUCUUAGGACUAUAAUUUGAGAACUACUGAUUCAAUGUGACGUAAAAUGUUCCCCAUGAUCUCAUUUGCUUCCUUCUCAAACUUAAUCUUUCACUGUAUUUUCAAAUUUAUUCAUAUUCCUAAUAGGCCUAAAUAAAUAUGGGCCUAAAUAAAAAUGGGCUGUUUCUAUAUUCCAUACAGGAUAUGUCGAUUCUUUCUGAAACAUCCUCUAUUUCACUACUUCAUUGUUCUGCAACCUGUCUUCUUGGCUUGCUGAUGAUCACAUUCAAGAUUCAGUUCAAACUUAGUUUUGGCUUGGAAACAUUCCCAGACUCUCUUGUAUAAUCUUCUUGUAGCUCAGAUGGUACCUGUGCAUGAUACUUACCGAAAUGUAAUUAAGAGGGCUUUUUUUGUUUUGCAUUCUAUCAUUAUGAGUUUCUCACCUUAUUUAUCUCUGUAUAUUUAGAAAUGUCUGACAUUCAGCUCUAAUAAUAUUUCCUACAAAGUGAAAAAUGCACAUUCCAAUCAUUGAAAAAGAACAUAAAUAAUAACAAAAAAUGUCUAUUUGAUUAAUAAUAUUCUUAAUGUCUUCUCUUUUAAAGCCCUUUUAAAGCUAUUCUUAUUUUUUAUAAGUAAGGGUAAUUUCUUGUGUGUUGUGAAUUUUUAUGAUUACGUAAAAUAUUGGUAAUAUUAUAUAUUAUAUCCUAUAUAAUUAUUUUUAGGGUGAAACAGUACAUUUUUGCUGUUUUCAUUUUCCUUAUUUAAUAUGUACUAAAAUGGUAAAGAAAGAAAAUGUAAUAUAUAAAGUGACUGUUUAUUAUUACUUUAUGUUAAAGAAUAUAUAUUAUUGUGAACUUACUACAUGGCAGGCACUAUUCUAAUUUAUAUUUCCCAAAACUGAGAGAUAAUAGUAAAUGGUAUAGCAGCAGAUUGAGAAUAUCUGACCAUUGUUGCAUCAUCUCAUCUUCAUCCUGUAUAGUGUGGUUGGUUAAAUUUGUGUAACAAUGUCAGCUUACUAUAUAAUACAAGUGACCUACAGCUCUCCUAAGACAUAUUUAUGUCAAGUGUAGGCUCCAGCAAAGGGAAUGCAGCUACUGAGG